UACGUAGGGUGCGAGCGUUGUCCGGAAUUAUUGGGCGUAAAGGGCGCGUAGGCGGUUUGUCGCGUCGGGGGUGAAAACCCAGGGCUUAACCCUGGGCUGGCCUCCGAUACGGGCUGACUAGAGGUAUGCAGGGGAGAACGGAAUUCCUGGUGUAGCGGUGAAAUGCGCAGAUAUCAGGAGGAACACCGGUGGCGAAGGCGGGUCUCUGGGCAACAACUGACGCUGAGGAGCGAAAGCGUGGGGAGCGAACAGG
rnacentral:rRNA from 1 species